GCGGGGGUGCCCGAGCCUGGCCAAAGGGGGCGGACUUAAGAUCCGUUGCCGUAGGGCUACGCGGGUUCGAAUCCCGUCCCCCGCACCA
rnacentral:tRNA from 1 species